GAUGAAGAACGUAGCGAAAUGCGAUAAUUAAUGUGAAUUGCAGAAUUCCGUGAAUCAUCGAGUUUUUGAACGCAUAUUGCGCCCCUUGGUAUUCCGAGAGGCAUGCCUGUCCGAGCGUCAUUGCAACCCUUCAAGCACGGCUUGUGUGUUGGACGGCCGCCCCAGUGUGGGCGGGUCCCAAAUGCAGUGGCGGCGCCGCGAUCCGGGUGCUCGAGUGCAUGGAAACCACGCGCUCGUUAGGCCCCGUCGGGCGCCGGCCGACCUAAUUAUCUUCGUUCUGGUUGACCUCGGAUCAGGUAGGAAUACCCGCUGAACUUAAGCAUAUCAAUAAGCGGAGGA
rnacentral:misc_RNA from 1 species